rnacentral:rRNA from 1 species
GUAAUGUCUGGGAAACUGCCUGAUGGAGGGGGAUAACUACUGGAAACGGUAGCUAAUACCGCAUGACCUCGUAAGAGCAAAGUGGGGGACCUUCGGGCCUCACGCCAUCGGAUGUGCCCAGAUGGGAUUAGCUAGUAGGUGAGGUAAUGGCUCACCUAGGCGACGAUCCCUAGCUGGUCUGAGAGGAUGACCAGCCACACUGGAACUGAGACACGGUCCAGACUCCUACGGGAGGCAGCAGUGGGGAAUAUUGCACAAUGGGCGCAAGCCUGAUGCAGCCAUGCCGCGUGUGUGAAGAAGGCCUUAGGGUUGUAAAGCACUUUCAGCGAGGAGGAAGGGUUCAGUGUUAAUAGCACUGUGCAUUGACGUUACUCGCAGAAGAAGCACCGGCUAACUCCGUGCCAGCAGCCGCGGUAAUACGGAGGGUGCAAGCGUUAAUCGGAAUUACUGGGCGUAAAGCGCACGCAGGCGGUUUGUUAAGUCAGAUGUGAAAUCCCCGAGCUUAACUUGGGAACUGCAUUUGAAACUGGCAAGCUAGAGUCUUGUAGAGGGGGGUAGAAUUCCAGGUGUAGCGGUGAAAUGCGUAGAGAUCUGGAGGAAUACCGGUGGCGAAGGCGGCCC